AUUGAACGCUGGCGGCAUGCCUUACACAUGCAAGUCGAACGGCAGCGGGCCUUCGGGUGCCGGCGAGUGGCGAACGGGUGAGUAAUGCAUCGGAACGUGCCAUUGAGUGGGGGAUAACGUAGCGAAAGUUACGCUAAUACCGCAUAUUCUGUGAGCAGGAAAGCAGGGGACCGCAAGGCCUUGCGCUCUUUGAGCGGCCGAUGUCAGAUUGGCUAGUUGGUGAGGUAAAGGCUUACCAAGGCGACGAUCUGUAGCGGGUCUGAGAGGAUGAUCCGCCACACUGGAACUGAGACACGGUCCAGACUCCUACGGGAGGCAGCAGUGGGGAAUUUUGGACAAUGGGCGCAAGCCUGAUCCAGCCAUGCCGCGUGAGUGAAGAAGGCCUCGG
rnacentral:rRNA from 1 species